rnacentral:pre_miRNA from 1 species
AACCCGUACAACCGAACUUGUGCUGGCUUUGAAAUCACAAGUCGGUUGUGAUGGGUCUG